AGAAUAUGGCAGUAACGUAACAAAAUGUGGAAAAUGUCAAGGGGUCUGAAUACUUUCCGAAGGUAUGGUUUCUAGAACCAUACAGAAGUUGAGAAUCAAUUCACGUUCAGAUGUAGUAUUUGGCUGUUUUUGCUUCCAGAGACAUUUUGCCUUUUAAACAGAACAUGUAAGGUUCUUGGGCUUUAAGGAGUGACGUUAGACUACUUCAGACCAUUAUUGGGCUAGGGUAUAGGUCCUUGGGUAGGGAACAAAUUAAAUUUAAAAAACUAAAUCCGUUCUGCAGUAAAAAUCCAAUAAAUUCAAUAAUGUUGAAAAUGUGAAUGUGUGGAGACUAAAAGUAAUUUUUUUCCAUUUCAACUUGUUGUAGAAUAAAUAGGGAAUUAUUUAAGAAAAGUGCAAGGGUGCAUAUGAACGUGUCCUGAUACUGUAGAACGCUGGCUAAUGAGUCUAUCUGAGAAAAAGUCCAAUCGUAGUGACGGAGAGCAACCUUGGGUUAAAACAGGUCCAUAUAAAGCAAUAGUUGCCAUCUGCCAAUGAGGGGCCAUGUACACGCAAAUAGAAGCAGGAAGAGAGUUUAAGACGGUGAUGUAUGAACAUUAGGAAGUAGUCAUUUUAUUUGGUUUCUUGAUCCUUGACACACACACACACACAUAAAUAUUUGUGCAUAGAUACACCGUCACACACCCAGACUCAAACCCUCACAUGGCUCUUCAUCUCUCCGUCUUCCGCCUCCUCAUCAUCAUCAUCUCAGUAAUGUCAAUGCCAACCACCGAAGACUCAACAUACUUAACAUCAGAGUACAGCAUGUAUACAUCUGAAGACGUCGUUAGAUUACUCUACAGAUUGGAGCGAGCACUCUUCUAUCUGGUGAAAACCGUUAAUACAGUGCUCUUCCUCCUGUGCACCAUCAUUGCUGAAAUGAAUUUCAGGUUUAACCGACUCCAAAAUAUAAA